rnacentral:lncRNA from 1 species
UGCAACAUUCGGUUUGUAGCCUGAGGGUCGGCACAGAUUUCACUUCUUUUCCAGCUCUCACCCUUCCUAUCACAGUGACAGCUUUGACUGUGCACUAAGAGGAGAGCUCUCAGCUUCUCUGCUGUUGUUCACAG